rnacentral:rRNA from 1 species
AAUCAACGCUGGCGGCGUGCCUAACACAUGCAAGUCGAACGCGAAAGGGGCUUCGGUCCUGAGUAGAGUGGCGUCCGGGUGAGUAACGCGUGGGUAAUCUACCCUUGGGUGGGGAAGUAACCAGUCGAAAGAUUAGGCUAAUACCGCAUAAUGCAGCGGCUCGACAUCGAGACAGUUGUUAAAGCAGCAAUGCGCCAGAGGAGGAGCCUGCGUCUGAUUAGCUUGUUGGCGGGGUAACGGCCCGACCGACGGCUACGAUCAGUAGCUGGUCUGAGAGGACGGCCAGCCACAAUGGC